rnacentral:rRNA from 1 species
ACGAACGCUGGCGGCGUGCUUAACACAUGCAAGUCGAACGCUGAAGCCCAGCUUGCUGGGUGGAUGAGUGGCGAACGGGUGAGUAACACGUGAGUAACCUGCCCCCUUCUUUGGGAUAACGCCCGGAAACGGGUGCUAAUACUGGAUAUUCACUGGCCUUCGCAUGGGGGUUGGUGGAAAGGUUUUUUCUGGUGGGGGAUGGGCUCGCGGCCUAUCAGCUUGUUGGUGGGGUGAUGGCCUACCAAGGCUUUGACGGGUAGCCGGCCUGAGAGGGUGACCGGUCACAUUGGGACUGAGAUACGGCCCAGACUCCUACGGGAGGCAGCAGUGGGGAAUAUUGCACAAUGGGCGAAAGCAUGAUGCAGCGACGCCGCGUGAGGGAUGACGGCCUUCGGGUUGUAAACCUCUUUCGCUCAUGGUCAAGCCGCAGCUUUGGGUUGUGGUGAGGGUAGUGGGUAAAGAAGCGCCGGCUAACUACGUG